rnacentral:lncRNA from 1 species
AUAAAAGAUUCAGGACGUAGUGCUCGUGGUUGGGGUCGGGGACAUGGCAAGACAGGAGCGGAAGAGAGAGACGGAGAAGACGCAGGGGAACUGCAUCUGCCUCUGCUGCUCAGGAACAGCGUUGAGACCGGCGCAGGGACCAUGGGUGGGAGAGUCCUGAUGUACUCAAUGUAUAAUAUUAGGCAGAAACCCAAUAUAAAAAGAAAAGCAGAGUUGUUGUAGAUUCAUCGAGGGUUGGCGACCUGGUUCCAAUGAGCCAUCUCCCUGUUCCGACAGGGGCUUCCUGGAGCUCCUGCAACCCCAGGCAUUAGUUCCGGUGCAGUUCUAGGAUCAGAUCAAUUCACUCGACAACAAGAGAAACAAAUGGAGAUUCCUACACAAAGACUUUCAAGCACAAAGAAAUCCUGCUGCCUGUAAAGCGGAGCUGCCUCAGCCCUUGAUGAACGACAGAAAAUCUCACAUUCCAGGAAUUCAGAUGAAGUGAAGUGCUCUCAUGGGGACCAGGCAUGGUUAUGCCAGUCCACUGCCCUGCAAGCCUCAAGGGAAGCCAACUGCCCUUCAGCAAGUCACACCUGCCUUGGUGGAGGCCUUGAUUGGAAGUGCCACACGCUACAUGUCCAGUCCUGAGCGGGAGAAUCGGUGUAGGGACGUUCUGGGGAUGCCAGCUGUGGCCAGAUCAGGUCCAACUACAGAAGAAUAAUGAAGACUCCACCUGAGGGCUGGAAAAACAAAACCUCAAGUGUGAGGCAGCCAACCUGUUACCUCGAGGGACUGUUCCGCAGCACAGCGGGGCCAUGGGAACAGCAGCAGACACCCCGACCUCCUCGCUACCU